UUAAGUCUUUUGAAAAACGGAAAGCUCUUCAUCCUUAAGAAAAAUUGAAAGUACUCCAUCAGCGAAAUUGAAACUUGCACAACACCCACGAAACUGAAACCCUCCAUGUACGAAAUUGAAACCUUCUUCUCCAUGAUACUUCGCCCAAUACAUCCAAGCCAAACUCUACCACCGCUUCCCUCCAUUACCGUCACCCGGGUUAUUCUCCAGCGUCUCUUAUUUCCCUCAUUAGUUCUGUGCGCGACGUGCUCUUAUCUCCUCUCCCUCUUUGCCUCUUUGGUGGUUGCGCCUGGUUCCGCUUCUCUCUUCUCUCAUCCUCUCCGACGUGCCCUCGGUGGUUGCCACGUUGUCGAGCUGAGGUAAGCCACCAUUCAAUUAAUAAGAUCUGGUACCUUCUCUAUCUCCGCCGCCUUUGCCGACUCCAACUCUCAACUCUCAACUCUCAGAUCUUGUCUAUUAGCUUUAAACUAAUAGACCCUAAUUUUAUGUACCACGGGCAUUGAGGAAUCAGAUGCAAGAAGCAGGAUGGAAAAUGGGUCGUUCGCCGCAUGCAUUGAAGAAUGACAGAGUUGUCUACUUUUUUGUGGUUGUGACUUACAAGUCAUCGAAUCUUCUACUUUCCAGUGUUUUCACAUUGUUGACAUAUAUUUCUUGAUAUGUUGGAAUAACCGUUACCUGAUUAACAUUUCAACACUUUUCCUUUUGUUUCUUCUGAUGUUGUAGAUGGCAGAAUUUCAUGCACAAGCUGCUGCUUCUGCUAAACCUCCUAAAACACCGCUAAAAGUUAGAAAACAGAAACUGCUUUCUUACUUACAAGAUGUGAAAUUGAUGUCCACCCAGAAUGCUAUGGAGUAUAGAGCUAAAAAUGUUCGAGAUCUAACCUCAUGGGUACGUAUGAAGAGCAUGUGAAACACCGGACAUUGAACGCGAGUAUUGCCUUCGUCCAGUAGAAGGUAUGUUAUGAUUGAGAAGAUAAUGCCCUUAUGCUAUAAGUUUUUUUUUCCAGUUGCUUUCCUGUUACAUGUUUCUGAAUCUUGAGUCUAGACGUUGGUGAUUGUGGAGUAAUGUGAUCAAGAUUGAUCUUUACUGAUUGCCAAUCUUUUUUAACUGGCUAAGCAAUUAAGCUUUUGUUUCUCCUUUCUUUUUAUGGGUUUCUUAUUCGUUGAUUUGGGGAGAUAGCCUUUGCAUUGACUGAGCUCCAGCAUGCCAGCGUAAUAUUAUUGAACUCUUUUCCACCCCCUUAAUGUUCCCUCGCUAAUGACGGAAAAAUUCAGAAUCAGUCAACUUUUUGUCAUGACUUCUUGUCUUUUAGACUCAAGCUCACAGGAUUUGUCGCUACCAUAGGAGGUGCAUUGAAGCCUACUGAUAUUGACACAUUAUGGGUCCAUGUCACCUGCCCCUGGUUUAGGCCUGAAGUUUCUUUUUUAAGUGAUUAGAAAAUGGAGCAUGCUAUGGGAAUAUUGAGCAUUCCAUCCAACACUUUUGUAAAGGUGGCGUUGUCAUCGUGUAAGAACUAGCUAGAAUGUACCAACUUGGUUCUGCUGUUGUCAUGUCAUUACUUGAAGCUCAUUCCACUAGUUUGAAAUCCGAAUUGUUGAUUGUCACUGGCUCUGUGAAUGAAUGUAUUUUUUACUCGAGAGAACCAAUUGUUGGAUCAUGCAGUAGUGACAAACAGAUCUACCUUGGGGAGCUGUAAACUGAUAUUUCUUUCUUAUAUCAGCAAAUUUAACAUUAA